rnacentral:tRNA from 1 species
CUGGAUGUAGGAGAGCCUGGCAUCAUCCGCCGGUUUCGGAAACCGGACCACGCUGGUUCAAAUCCAGCCAUCCAGA